UCACAGUUUGCACUGGCAGUCUCAUUAGAGUUCCCGACUUGACUCGAUGGCAACUAAUGAUAGGGGUUGCGCUCGUUAUAGGACUUAACCUGACACCUCACGGCACGAGCUGACGACAACCAUGCAGCACCUUGAAAAUUGUCCGAAGAAAUAUCUGUUUCCAAAUAAGUCAACUUUCAUUUAAGCCCUGGUAAGGUUCCUCGCGUAUCAUCGAAUUAAACCACAUGCUCCACCGCUUGUGCGGGCCCCCGUCAAUUCCUUUGAGUUUCAAUCUUGCGAUCGUACUCCCCAGGUGGGAUACUUAUUACUUUCGCUUAGUCACUGAAGCCCGAAAGCUCCAACAACGAGUAUCCAUCGUUUACGGCGUGGACUAC
rnacentral:misc_RNA from 1 species